ensembl:lncRNA
AUAAUAUUGCAGGCUGGAACACUAGGCAGGCCCUGCACACUGCAAACCACGGCCGUGCCUCUGAGCAGCCUCGCCCCAGCCUUGCAAUGAGGUAACUCCAAGCAUUUCAGUCAUUGUCGCAACUCAAGGAAGAUAGAACAGCUGAAGAACCCACAUUGCCUGAGGAAUACAUGACAACUGGCCUAGUAUCUCCAACACCAUUUCCCUCCCUCGCUGUAUCCCUUUCAGAUUACAUAAAGAAAUUCCCAGCUUGCCACGCAAUGCCAGUGUGGCAGAAGAACAGAGUGGCUGCUAUCGUAGAUGGAGAAACAAUAAUCCCUGCCGACCAAGAUGACAACUUUUCUUUGGAUCUGGCAUCAAGUAGAAGGUUCUUUUGAAAGAAAAAGAAAUAUCCUUUUUUUUUUUUAAGGGAAAAUUCAGGGGGGAAAGUCCCCCCACCACAUUAUUCUGGCUCUUUUUUAUUGCCACAGACUGUUUGGAUGAACUCAAAAAUACAUUUUUGGGUAGGAAAAAAGGUUCUGACAACAUUGUAGGUUUUUUUUUAGCCUUCUAAUGGUGCUUUCACAAAUAUUACACCAUCCCAGCUUCUUCAUGAAAGUUUCUAGUUGAGAGCUGUGCUCUGAAAACACACAAAAUGUUCUUUUUUUCUGUGUUUAUAACAAGUGGAUAAGGCUAGAGCUGGCAAAAUGGCAAAGGAAUUUUAAUGCUGUAGAAAGAGUGGUGGGCCAUUAGCUUAAUGCCUCCACACAUCUCUCACUAGCUGGCUUUCAUCCUAUAGCCCUUCUUGCAUGCAUUCAGUAUGUCUCAACCAGUCUUCAAGUUUGCCAAUAAAACAUCAGUGGUGUUACUGUGUCUUUCUUUCAUGUCUAGAAGUCUUAAUAUACAUAUAUAUAUUCCUAGUUCCAAAAUAAUUCCACCUUCAGGAAAGUGAAAUAAUUAUUCUUGAGUUGCAGUUGUUACAAGGACUAUAGAAAAAAUAAUGACUGUCUGAGUUUUGAUGUUUUCACCUUAGAAACGUGGCGUGCAUCUUCCACUGUAACUGCAAGAGUAGAAAGAGAUGACAGGUUCAGUGAGACUUUUUCACCUACUCUGGAUUUUUAUCAUAAAGAUUAAUUUCUUGUUGUUCUCCAUCAAUAACUUCCUCUCCAGUGCUUCCCCUGUGUCUGAGUUGGAGAAUGAGACCACUUCAACAGGACACUCUUCCAUCAUUUCCCAAAGACAUUAUUUUUGCAGUCGGAUGAGUGUUGGCUUCCCAGUGAUGCCUCUACGGACAACAGCAUUCUGUCAGACUGACCUCUCAUACAGCGUUUGAUAGUGUGAUAUAAGUGUGCUGAGGAAGACAAGAAGAUGAUCUCCAGUUGAAGGCACACAAACUCCUAGCCGAUUUUAACAGGAUUGAACCCAGACAUCGUUUUUGCUGCACAACUGCACAACUUCAAAUUGGUUUUACAAUUCAAGGCUCUCUCUUCCAUAGUUAGUAAUUAUUACUUGUCAAGGUUCAUUAAUAUCUCUGCCCCAUACAUUACGCAAGAAACAUCAUUAUAGCAAGACCUUACCCCAUGUCAUUAGCAGGAACUUUUGUAUUUAAUGUUGAGAAUGACUCAAGUGAAGUGCUGCUUUCUCUGACCUGUCAUAAAUAAAGAACCAUUAUAAUUAAAAGCCCAGGCUUGAUUUAUACAGGCUGUUUGCUCAGGCUGCCAGGAUUGAACCUCUUAAUGUCUAUUGUUACCAAGGGAUUUUGGUAAGAGUUGAUCUAGUUUAAUCAAAUACUUACCACUUCUAAUAAGUUUUAGAAAUGUAGCAAGAAACAAAAACAAUCCUG